CCUACACUCAUGUGUGUAGGACCCUAAAGGAUCACCAUUAAAUUUGGCAUAGAUAUCUAGAAAAGUUAUCGCAUGGUGUGGGACUUAACUUUUUUAGAGACAUGUGUCAAAUUUAAUGGUGAUCAUUUGGGGUCUUACACACAUGGGUGUGGG
rnacentral:pre_miRNA from 1 species